UCGGCAGAUGCCGCCUGGUCCAGCUAUCGUGCUCGGUAUUCAGUUUUCCGGAGCAGCGCUCUUUCUCUGGCCCGCGGAGCGGUCCCGCGGCCGAGUACCGGAUUCCCGAGUUUGGGAGGCUCUGCUUUCCUCCUUAGGACCCACUUUGCCGUCCUGGGGUGGCUGCAGUUAUGUCCGCGCUGCGACCUCUCCUGCUUCUGCUGCUGCCUCUGUGUCCCGGUCCUGGUCCCGGACCCGGGAGCGAGGCAAAGGUCACCCGGAGUUGUGCAGAGACCCGGCAGGUGCUGGGGGCCCGGGGAUAUAGCUUAAACCUAAUCCCUCCCGCCCUGAUCUCAGGUGAGCACCUCCGGGUCUGUCCCCAGGAGUACACCUGCUGUUCCAGUGAGACAGAGCAGAGGCUGAUCAGGGAGACUGAGGCCACCUUCCGAGGCCUGGUGGAGGACAGCGGCUCCUUUCUGGUUCACACACUGGCUGCCAGGCACAGAAAAUUUGAUGAUAACCCGGACCCUGGUGGCUGCCCGAGCCUUUGUGCAGGGCCUGGAGACUGGAAGAAAUGUGGUCAGCGAAGCGCUUAAGGUGCCGGUGUCUGAAGGCUGCAGCCAGGCUCUGAUGCGUCUCAUCGGCUGUCCCCUGUGCCGGGGGGUCCCCUCACUUAUGCCCUGCCAGGGCUUCUGCCUCAACGUGGUUCGUGGCUGUCUCAGCAGCAGGGGACUGGAGCCUGACUGGGGCAACUAUCUGGAUGGUCUCCUGAUCCUGGCUGAUAAGCU
rnacentral:lncRNA from 1 species